GGAGGAUCCGAGCGUUAUCCGGAUUUAUUGGGUUUAAAGGGAGCGUAGAUGGAUGUUUAAGUCAGUUGUGAAAGUUUGCGGCUCAACCGUAAAAUUGCAGUUGAUACUGGAUAUCUUGAGUGCAGUUGAGGCAGGCGGAAUUCGUGGUGUAGCGGUGAAAUGCUUAGAUAUCACGAAGAACUCCGAUUGCGAGGGCAGCUUACUGGAUUGUAACUGACACUGAUGCUCGAAAGUGCGGGUAUCGAACAGGAUUAGAUACCCUGGUAGUCCGCACGGUAAACGAUGGAUGCCCGCUGUUGGUCUGAACAGGUCAGCGGCCAAGCGAAAGCAUUAAGCAUCCCACCUGGGGAGU
rnacentral:rRNA from 1 species